GUGCCUAACACAUGCAAGUCGAGCGAGAAAAGGGGGGCAACUCCCUGAGUAAAGCGGCGCACGGGUGAGUAACACGUGGGUAAUCUGCCCUGGAGUGGGGAAUAACACCGGGAAACCGGUGCUAAUACCGCAUACGAUAGCGGGAUCUGCGGAUUUCGUUAUGAAAGGAGCAAUUCGCUCUAGGAGGAGCCCGCGGCUGAUUAGCUAGUUGGUGAGGUAAUGGCUCACCAAGGCAACGAUCAGUAUCCGGUCUGAGAGGACGGUCGGACACACUGGAACUGAGACACGGUCCAG
rnacentral:rRNA from 1 species